AUUGAACGCUGGCGGAAUGCUUUACACAUGCAAGUCGAGCGGCAGCACGGGGGCAACCCUGGUGGCGAGCGGCGAACGGGUGAGUAAUACAUCGGAACAUGCCCAGUCGUGGGGGAUAACACUUCGAAAGAAGUGCUAAUACCGCAUACGUCCUGAGGGAGAAAGCGGGGGAUCUUCGGACCUCGCGCGAUUGGAGUGGCCGAUGUCAGAUUAGCUAGUUGGUGGGGUAAAGGCCUACCGAGGCAACGAUCUGUAGCUGGUCUGAGAGGAUGAUCAGCCACACUGGGACUGAGACACGGCCCAGACUCCUACGGGAGGCAGCAGUGGGGAAUUUUGGACAAUGGGGGCAACCCUGAUCCAGCCAUGCCGCGUGCGGGAAGAAGGCCUUCGGGUUGUAAACCGCUUUUGUCAGGGAAGAAACGAGUUUCUCUAAUACAGAGACUUAAUGACGGUACCUGAAGAAUAAGCACCGGCUAACUACGUGCCAGCAGCCGCCGUAACAC
rnacentral:rRNA from 1 species